rnacentral:lncRNA from 1 species
AAGUGAACUGGUGGUUAAAAAGAGCCUGGCACCUGCCCCCCUCCCUUUUGCUUCCUCUCUCACCAUGUGGUCAGUUCACACCAGCCUUUCCUUGCCUUGUACUGUGAGUGGAAGCAGCCUGAGGGUGUCAUCAGAAGCAGAUGUUGGUACCAGGCUUCUUAUAGUUUGUAGAACUGUGAACCAAAGAAACCUCGUUUCUUUAUAAAUUAUUCAGCUUCAGGUAUUCUUUUCUCACAACACAAAAUGAUCCAGGACAGUACCUAAAAGCUUCAAUUUGCCAUUUGAUUCUUUCUAUGAGAUGACUAGAUUUUUUGGGAGGACAGGUCUAUCUAUCUGGAAAGAAGCCGUUUGGAAUGGAAGCAGUAUGAAACAAGCAUAAUUUUCUUGGUUUAAGCCAACCUUAUUAUAAGCCCCUGAAUCUUACAACUUUAUUACAUUUCUGCAAAUAUCCAGAAGCUUAUGUAUUUAUUAUUCUUUCAGGCUCUUGAGUUUCUGCUUUCAAGUGACCCUCAGAAAUUCCUCCAUUCACUGCAGAGGUUCUGUUUCUCCUUGCUUUGUUCUGACUUUACGGCAGAACUAAGCUAAUGAGUUAGUUACUAUGGGUUAUCACUUGGAUUUGAAGAACCAUCAUUUCUAGGCAUUGCUGCUCAGAGUGACCUUGCCAUCGUAUCCCCUUUUGGAGACACAAGCCAGGAAGGAAGCUCUUCAGUGCAGCUGUGAAUAGAGAAAUGCUGGCUGAGGUUUUGGAGACACUGGGUGAUCAUUCCCAGUGAAAUUUUUAGAUCCCUGGGGACAUGAGCUGCUUUGUCUUUUCCAAGGCUGAAAAAGUUUUGGAAGCCCUCCUAAGCAGGUGCCAGACCCUUUUUUGGCCAGAGACAGGAUCUUACGCUGUUGCCCAGGCUGGAGUGCAAUAGUGUCAUCAUGGCUCACUGUAGCCUGGAACUGCUGGGCUCAAGGGAUCCUCCCAGCUCAGCCUCCCAAGUAGCUAGGAGUAAAGUUGGAGGAACUGGUUAUUUUCCCAGGGCUUUGACUGAAAUGGCCUUGUGAAUGGUUCCAGGAAAGCCAAUUUUGGAGACCCUAUGUGGAUGAUGAUGCUUGCUGUACUUUCUGUGGGUAAUCGGGCCAAGUAUAUGGGACUGAAGCUAAUUUUGCAGGUGAGAAAAUGGAGGUCCAGAGAGAAAAGUGACUCACCCAAGCUGAAAACAGUUGCAGGAAGAAAAGCCAGGACAGAACUGGGCUGUUAGAAACCUUGGAGUACACUAAAGAUGAGGAACUGAGUCACCGCAAUGCCAAAUGUAACACGCUGUGGGUCAAAAUUUGGAUGGUUGCGUUGGAAAUUAUUCUGAAGCCACAGACAGGGCUAAAAGAGUCUAGAAUGUCCUACUAGCUGUUGGAACCUGCUGGAGUUCUAAAGGCAUGCGAUGUCCUGAAUGUGCUUGACCAAUGGACACAGCAGGUAUUUGAAGAGUUUUGAUGCUUCCUUUCUGUUUUCAGUGCUAUUUUUUUGCUUUAUUUCUUUUAAAAAACUUUCCCCACAGAGGCUAUUUAUUACACAGCAGCAGCCAGCAUGCACCAAGCAGAACUGCUUUUCAUAAUAAACCUAUUUAUCUUCUGGCAUGUCAGAAAUUUCUCAAAUUGAUACUUAUAAUAAAUAUGAUUAAUAACACAUUGUA